GGUGCCCUUUCUGAUGUUUUGGGACUACAACUUCCAUCAUCCCUGACUGCCGGCCAUGCUGCUUGGGCUGAUGGGAGUUGGAGUCCCCCAAGAUGCGAAGGGCCACAGAUUCCCCACCCGUCUGCUACAGUAUUAACUCUUACUAUCACCAAGGUACAAUAGGACAUAAUGUAAUAGGACUCAGGUUUAACGCUGACUGUGGAUCCAGGCUGUGUUUAUGUGAAGCACAUUCAUUUCCUCAAAUAAUUACAGGUGCUGUCGUUUACCCCUCACAGAGUUACGAUUCCCAGCAGCCCUUAACAAACUGCAGAAAAGAAUGUGCCUCAAAGUGUAUACUCAGCUGGAGUUUGAAAAAGGAAAUGAAAAAGGAAAUGAAGACAAGACAGGGUUCACUUUCAGCUGCGCUUGGUGAGGCUUGAGGGGAAUAAUUAUUCUUGGAAAUGUUUUACAAGCUAUGUGGAAUGAAAGAAUGGAACGCUAGACUGCUCCACUUCUAGCAGCGUGGAGAGAAGCUGUGUUUUUGAAUGCUCCUCCACAUAAAAGAAACACACAAAUCCUUUAUGUAGUAAACCGGUACACUGGAGAGAAAUGCUUAGCUUAGCGCUUUAUCUGUUGUCUUAGCUGCCUGCAUGCUACAGAAGGGGCUUUUUAGCAGGGGAACAUCUAGAAAUGUGACCCACACAUGCCUGCAAUUGGAAGUCAGGCCACCCAGACUCCUUAUCCCUCCCUUUCAUUCAGUCUACUAGGUUGAUCAGCUGGCUCUUAAUGUGUUUUGGCGUUCUUCCUUUGAUGAGGUGACAACCAGAGCUCUGUAUAUAGCCCAGCUAGCAAGCAAAUGGGCAGUAUUCAGAUUUCAUCAUGCAAAGUUUGAGUUCGUUUGCACAGGCUGCCUGGAUUUUUUUUAAAAAAAUUAUUAUUUGCAUAAAUCAGCUGAAAGGCACAAAACUUUGGGUUUUACUGUAAUGUAUGGCAAGCAAGGUAGAUUGUAGAGUUGAGGAAAAUCCUCACUACAGUGGUACCUUGGGUUACAUACGCUUCAGGUUACAGACUCCGCUAACCCAGAAAUAGUACCUUGGGUUAAGAACUUUGCUUCAGGAUGAGAACAGAGAUCGUGCUCUGGCUGUGCGGCGGCAGCAGGAGGCCCCAUUAGCUAAAGUGGUGCUUCAGGUUAAGAACAGUUUCAGGUUAAGAACGGACCUCCAGAACGAAUUAAGUACUUAACCCAGGGUACCACUGUAUUCCAAAGUAAAAGUGCAGCUAGUGGAGGUGAUAAAUAUCUGAGGUGCCAGAUUGCUGUGAGCAUUUUCGGUUUGCUGUCCGAGCACCAGAAGAAGGUUACAUUUGCACUGAACUCCCGUCUUUGCUUAAGGUGCAAAAAUCCUUGUUCCAGUGGUGGCUGGUUGACAUUGGGACCGAUAGGGCAGGAAGGAGGGAGGCCAGCAGUAGGUGGCGCUGGAGCCAAUGGCAGGCAGAAGCAACAAAUUAUACUUUUGUCCCUAUCCUCCUCCCUGCCGAGUCCUAUAGGGGGCAGCACUAAGCAGGUGGAGGCUGACAGGCAGCGCCACCCUCUGGUUGUAAAUAAGAAGGCAGACAGGUCUGGGCUGGCAGAGCGCAGGCGGACAGUGGGGCAGACUGACAGUGGUGUUUCUGAGUGUGCCCCACUCCUUUUUCCAUAUAAGUCAGGGAUAGGCAACCUAAGGCCCGGGGGCCGGAUGUGGCCCAAUCGCCUUCUCAAUCCAGCCCGCGGACGGUCCAGGAAUCUGUGUGUUUUUACACUAGUAGAAUGUGUCCUUUUAUUUAAAAUGCAUCUCUGGGUUAUUUGUGGGGCAUAGGAAUUCGUUCAUUUCCCUCCCCCC